rnacentral:lncRNA from 1 species
GUGUUUCUACAAUCAAGGUUUGUCUUAAGGGUUCAGGCUCAACUGUCAAAUUCCUAGUAAAUUUACAAGAUAUAAAGGAGUGAGUGGCAUUAAUAUCAAUCAAAGCAUGAACAAUAGAAUUAUGAAUAGAAAGCGUACCUUGAAUGAUAGUCGAUGUUACCACGAUACUAGACUUGUCGAGGUGUUUCCUCUAGUAAUGGGUCUAGCAGUAUUCCUAGGCUUCUGGGGAUAGUCCUUCAUGAAAUGUUGAGUACUCCUGCAUUUAUAACAGACGUUGUUUAAUUUGUAGAAUGGUCG